UACGUAGGGGGCAAGCGUUGUCCGGAUUUAUUGGGCGUAAAGAGCGUGUAGGCGGUUAGGUAGGUCCGUUGUGAAAACUCGAGGCUCAACCUCGAGACGCCGAUGGAAACCAUCUGACUAGAGUCCGGAAGAGGAGAGUGGAAUUCCUGGUGUAGCGGUGAAAUGCGCAGAUAUCAGGAAGAACACCGGUGGCGAAGGCGGGUCCCUGGGCCGAUACUGACGCUGAGGAGCGAAAGCGUGGGGAGCGAACAGG
rnacentral:rRNA from 1 species